UUGCACAGCCUGUGUGUCAGCCUGCUGCGCAUUGUAUGCCUACAUGCACGGUGGAGCUGGCCGCUCGCGGGGUGGCCCUAUAUGCGGACGUGAUAGCUAGUAGUCACGUCGUACCUGUAACAUGCUGCUUGUGCUGCGAUAGCUUUUGAGGCACCUACCAGGCCCAUGUUAUGUCUAAAUGAGUGCCAUAUGUCACCCAUCCAUGGCCCUUCUAUGGCUAUUGAAAGACCCACUCUCUUCACAUUUUUCUCACCAUUUUCCAUUUUUCAUUCUAGAAACUUUAGAG
rnacentral:lncRNA from 1 species